CCAGUUGGCUGGGUAACCGCGCGCUUUAUAGAUGUAUUACAUCUCAAUGUGUGAGGAAAGUCCGGGCUCCACGAAAACUCGACGCCGGAUAACAUCCGGCAAAGGUGACUUUAGGGAAAGUGCCACAGAAAAUAUACCGCUUUUAUAUCAAUAAAAGUAAGGGUGAAAUGGCGAGGUAAGAGCUCACCGCAUUUUUGGCAACAAAAAUGGCAUGGUAAACCCCGUCGGGAGCAAGACCAAAUAGGGAUAGUGCUAAGCAUUAGUGCUUUAAGGUGUGUUUUCGACCUAACUAUCCGGGUAGGUUGCAUGAGAUGGCAUGUAAAUGUCAUCCUAGAUGAAUGGUUACCAAUCUAUACUGUAUAGAUAUACAGAACCCGGCUUAUAGGCCAACUGGUUUA
rnacentral:RNase_P_RNA from 2 species